rnacentral:misc_RNA from 1 species
AACGCACAUUGCGCCCUCUGGUAUUCCGGAGGGCAUGCCUGUCCGAGCGUCAUUGCAACCUUCAAGCACGGCUUGUGUGUUGGACUUUGUUUUCUAAAACGAAAACAGGCCCGAAAGGCAGUGGCGGCGCCCGAUCUGGUGCCCGAGCGUAUGGGAACUCUCUCCGCUCAAUGUGGCCCGGCCGGCGCUGGUCGAACUAUUAUUUUUUACCGGUUGACCUCGGAUCAGGUAGGGAUACCCGCUGAACUUAA